rnacentral:rRNA from 1 species
AUUGAACGCUGGCGGCAGGCCUAACACAUGCAAGUCGAACGAGUGGCGGACGGGUGAGUAAUGUCUGGGAAACUGCCCGAUGGAGGGGGAUAACUACUGGAAACGGUAGCUAAUACCGCAUACCAUCGGUUGUCCCCAGAUGGGAUGCGUUAGUCGUUGGGGUAAUGGCUCACCUAGGCGACGAUCCCUACCUGGUCUGAGAGGAGGACCAGCCACACUGGAACUGAGACACGGUCCAGACUCCUACGGGAGGCAGCAGUGGGGAAUAUUGCACAAUGGGCGCAAGCCGGAUGCAGCCAUGCCGCGUGUAUGAAGAAGGCCUUCGGGUUGUAAAGUACUUUCAGCGAGGAGGCGUUACUCGAAGAAGAAGCACCGGCUAACUCCGUGCCAGCCGCCGCGGUAAUUC